ensembl:lncRNA
GUGGGAAUCCGGCAGGUUUGUGAGGAGUGAGGAACGGCCUCGUUUGGCUUCGGGGCUCUUUUUUCCUCCUUUUUUUUUUUUUUCUUUUUUCCUCCUUUUUUUUUUUUCUUUUUUUCUCCUUUUUGGCUUUUUUUCUCCCCCCCCCCCACCCUCCUCUCCUUUUCUUUCGACCACGGGGGUCGCAGAGAGAGGGCGAGCAGCAGGAAGGCAGCAGCAGAAGGCAGCAGCACAAAGCACACGGCCGCGGUGCCGCAGGGAUCCCCCACGCCGCGGUGCCGCCGACCUCAGCGCCGCUUAGGAGCCACGUGGAAAAGGGAAGAGGCAAACAUCACGCAAGCCAAAAAAAACCCAACACCCAGCACAUCUGUCCCACCCGGCGCCGGCUCUGAGCGCUGUAUCUAUGUACAGAAACCUCCCACAGCUCCAUUUGACCUUCCAGCACACGGGUGAGAAGAGCAGAGCGCGUCGGGGGAAGAAAUCUCGCAGCAACAAAGAGAGAACAAGCAGAGCGGUGCGGUGUUUUCUGGCCGCAGCCACACGGAGAGGCUGAGCGAGGCCCGGAUGCACCCCGCGAGGGGAGGAGAGGGGUUGUGGUGGUGGUUGUUUCGCUUGGUUGGUUUUUGUUUUUGUUUUUCUUUUUCAAUGGCUUGGAUUGUGUAGGAGACGGGCAAAAGGCUUUUAUCCGGAAGGGGAACGCCGGGUUUGUGGAGCUUCCAGAUUUCUGUCGCCCCGGAAGGGACGGUUUGAGAGCGCGACUCUAUCAAAGCAUCUGCUGUACAAACGGAAAUGUAAAUCUUGUAUAGCGCCCCAGAACCUCGUGUAAAUAGCCGAGACGUCCGGGCCGGCCGCCCGCGUGGAUCAGCCCAAGAAUCAAAUCCCACGGCUCCGUCAAAGUCAAAACUGCUUCGAUUUUCCCCGCUCCCUCCCAAGAGAAAACGGAAACGCUGCGUUACCCCGCGUGCUUCCGGCCGCCCCGGGGUAACGGGCGCAGGAGUUGGCUGCAGUGAUCCCCUCAUAUUGAGUGGUCCAUCACUCCGUGACAGCGGAGGGCGACUCGUCGGGAUGCGGCCGCUCCCCGGCGCGGUUCCGAGGCGCUUCGCUCCCC